AGUGAACGCUGGCGGCAGGCCUAACACAUGCAAGUCGAACGGCAGCACAAGAGAGCUUGCUCUCUGGGUGGCGAGUGGCGGACGGGUGAGGAAUGCAUCGGAAUCUGCCCAUUUGUGGGGGAUAACCUCGGAAAACCGGGACUAAUACCGCAUACGACCUACGGGUGAAAGCAGGGGAUCUUCGGACCUUGCGCAGAUGGAUGAGCCGAUGCCGGAUUAGCUAGUUGGAGGGGUAAAGGCCCACCAAGGCGACGAUCCGUAGCUGGUCUGAGAGGAUGAUCAGCCACACUGGGACUGAGACACGGCCCAGACUCCUACGGGAGGCAGCAGUGGGGAAUAUUGGACAAUGGGCGCAAGCCUGAUCCAGCCAUGCCGCGUGUGUGAAGAAGGCCUUCGGGUUGUAAAGCACUUUUGUUGGGAAAGAAAAGCAGCCGGUUAAUACCCGGUUGUCAUGACGGUACCCAAAGAAUAAGCACCGGCUAACUUCGUG
rnacentral:rRNA from 1 species